GGGCGGAGCAUACCUGGCUGUUGCCAGGUAACUGUGGGGGUGGAGCUUAGACAGAAUGCUAACAAUGAGUCUUUGUAUCCCAGGUGCUUUAUCCGAAUCUGCCCUGGUCCUGGCUCUGUUCCACCUCUUCCUCUUUUUUCCUUGGUGAUCUAUGCAGUCUGGGGUGUCUCAACCCCAUGCCGAGGUACUCAGUCUACCUGAAUAGAACCUGGAUCUCCCUAUAGUCUGGGAAGGCAGUGGUCCGUCGUCGCAAAAGCAACCAGGGCGAGCUGUUGCCUACCGAGGAUGCCAGCACCAGAGGCAGGGCCGUGGACCCAGCGAUGCCAUUUCAGGUCACCAUGGCAACCGCUCCUAAGUAAGCAGAGGAUUCCCACUUAAACUGUGGCUAAGACACGGAGAAGUCAAGAGGCACAACGAGAGCCACCACAGCACAUGUAUGCAUCCCACAUGCAGUCACCAGACCCAGUCACUAUUGUGGAUGCCAAGAGGUGCAAGCUGACAGGAGCCUAAUAUAGCUGUCUUCUAAGAGGCUCUGCCAGAGCAUGACAAAUACAGAGGUGGAUGCUCACAGCCAA